AGGAAUCCGGGGGGCGGGGGGGGGGCAAGGUUCAGAUCCCGCACAAGCUGGCUCCCUUCUGGCCCACGGGGGCUAACUAGUGUGCUAACUAGGGCGAUCCAUUCAUCCUCACAGCCCGGAAAAUACGUGCACCCACCUUAUGGAUAAGAAAGCAGAGCACUAAGCAACUUGACCAAGGCCACUCUGCUAGGAAGUGGUAAGUGCCAUCCAGGCCAGGGACCCAGCCCCUCCUUCCACCGAAUGAUAUUGUUACCAGAAUAUUACAAUCCCUGACGUGCAAUACGGCACGAGGCACCUGCGAAGUACGUGUGUAUCUGUGACCUCACGAUGCUCUCACACCACCCUUGAGGACCAGGUAGGAACCUAAGCCAGAGUGGUUACGUUACCUGUCAUCGGUCAUCAGCCAGCAAGUGGCAGAGCCAGACUCGGCACUGAGUCCAAGGCUCCUUCCACCCUGCCCGGCUGUCUCAGAAAGAUUCUGGUCUCAACUCGGGGCUCUCAGCUUCCUCCACGAGCAGCCUCCAGGAAGCCAAGAGGGGAAGUAAGGAAAAGGGCGAACCCACUCUUGGCAGGGCACGGCCCUGGCAUACUCACCGACAGCCACCAGUGGGGUUAUGACGGGGAUCAAGAGAGGAGCCAGGAACAUGUACACGAAGCGGUUGAGGCAAGGCAGCCUCCAGGUGCUCGAGUCGCCCAGGCCCAGCACGUUGGUGUAACCGUGGUGCAGCUUGACGUGUCCGUACUUGGCAUACUCUGCACUGAAUGCCGAGCAUACCUAGAGGAGGGGGCCGGACAGGGCACCGGGUCCGUGGCAGGCACGGUCAAGCCAAGCCAGCCUCAAAAACACCCACCCUCCCCGGAUGCUGCGUUUCCAGGACCUGCCUGCCCUACACCCCCUAGCUAGUCGGACCAUCAGCGCUCAGGUCUCUGUGGCCGCAGAGUGGCCGCCAGUCAAAAGAGCUGCAUCCACUCGGCGCAGCGAUGCUAAGUGUUUGGAGGGGGGAAGCCAGCCCCAAAGGCCACUCUGCCGCUGACCACCCGGGAAAGCCCGCAAGCCUGAGGGGGCUGUCAGAGGAUCCGGCGCACUGCAGGUAAAGCUCCAGGCACCCAGCUGCAAUGAUUUUGUGUCUGUUUCUCUUGGAAACCUCUGUAUCUUCACAGCACUGUUUUGCAUUCUGAGCCCCACCCCCCGCAGCGAGGGGAGGGGUGCAGGAGUGGUCUGUCCAUGAGGGUGGCACCCAGGGUGAGGCGACCCCGGGGUGGGGGGGCUGAGCGUGAGCUUCUCCCCAGGGGUGACUCCUCUGCAUGUCCCUCAUGGGAUUCUUCCAAACUGCUCACAAGCAGCAGUGGGACUGCAGCUGGGGGGCGGGGGGACUCCAAGAAGGGCAGUCCUUCUGGAUGCAAAAGAGGCACUAAGGUGUUUCUUAUGCAGAUAUAUGCAAAUUAAAAAUGCAGAUGUCAGCCUCCUCCAGUAUUUUAUCCAGGCCAGAAGAUUCUGCUAAUUUUAUCAAAGAGGCUGCCCGCCUGUUUCCAGAAGAACAUGAAGAGUUUCCCAGCUGCGAUCACGAGACUUCCUCCCUUGGACUGAGAUGGCACAAAAAUGUAGCCGGAAGCUCUGGCUGAAGGACACUGAGGAGGGGCACAGCUAGUGACGUGACCACUGCGGUGUUACAACAGACCGAUAUGCCAAACCAGCGCUGCCCGGCGCCUCGGGAGGCAGGGGCGGGAAGGUCAGCGCCGACCCCGCACAGCCUCGCUGUGCAGCCCACAAAAGCGGGACGAAGCGCUUCCCUCUCAGGACCCUGGGAUCAUGACCUGAGCUGAAGGCAGACGCUUUACCGACUGAGCCUCCCAGGUGCCCCGAGAAGCAGCUGUUUGGAAUCGCUCCUUCUAUGAGCUGCUUCGAGGGCCCACGGCACGUGCAGGCUGCUUGGGGACAGAGUUGCCUUUCCUUCUGGCACCAGCUCGGCCUCUGCUCGCAGACCAGAUUGGCAGCUCACCGCACUCGGAGUAGCACCGCCACCAACGACCGGGCGCCUGAGCAGGACUGAGCAGCGCGGUAAGAACUCGGCCCCCAGGGACCUGGUGGGUCCUCAGUGAGCCGCUCAGCCAUGUGGCCGAACCCCGGGGGGGGGGUGAGCUACAUGUGACUCAGCGCCCACUUCCAGAGUCUGGUUGGCCUUUUUAUAUGAAUAAGAACAGAUUUGGAGCUAUUUCCUUAACACUGGAAUUCUCACUCCCAUCUGGAUGUUCCUUCUGUGGAGGGAAGGAGGGGGUGGAUUUGGGCUGAGAGGGAAGACCGCACAGACGGCAUCUCCCAGGCACCUACACCCAUCGGCACAUACACCCAUCGGCCGGAGUGCAGGGGAGGGGCUGAGUGCUGCGCAAGGAGCUGGAACACGGACUGGCCUGCUCCCAAGGAUUAGGCAGAGGUCUCGCGCAAGAGAAUUCCACAUGCAGACCCGGGAAGAGUUCCAGAAGCCCCCACGGCUGGUAUUGAUUUUUUUUUUUUUUUAAGCAAUCUCUCCACCCAACCCAAGAUCGAGAGGGACACGUUCCACCAACUGGUUCAGCCAGGCACCUCAAGGAGGGUGUUGCUUCUGGAUGUCACUGUGCUCUGUACCCCUCAGGGAGAAUUAAGGGCCCCAAUCUCUUAGCAGCACUCGGGCGAUGUAAGUGGCCAGCAUGUGCAUGGGGCAGGUGGCACUGUAAGUCUUCCUGACACCUUCCCUCCGCUAAGCAUCAGGGACCCCAAGUCUCUCAUCAGUCACUUAUUUCUUCACUUGGCCAUUUGUGCACUCGAGCAUCCUCAGACCUCUGCCUGUGGCCAAAGGUAACGAAUAGCUAAGGUGGUAGUUCGAAAACUACUCGUUUUUGAAUAGGUAAUACGUUUACAUAAGUCGGAAUUCAAAAAGUCCACAGUGAUGGGUCUUGUUCCUACCUCACCCCCCAGCUCCUCAUUUUCCUCCUGGGACUUAAGGGAGGACCUUGAUCUCUUACUUGUCCUUGAAUAUUUUAUUUUUCUAAACAAACAAUACUUUGCAGGAUUACAUCACAUCAUAUAAAAUUAUGGUGCAGUCAAAGUUGGGUUUUAAAUAGGUCAUUCUGCUGCAUUGGAAGGGGAGGGGCAGGACGAGACAGGUGAUGGGCUGCAGGCUCUUGGAAAGGGAAAGUGACAGGCAGGCAUGGGAGACAGGACCUGGGAAGGGGAGGGAUGGGAGGAUCAGCAGGGAUCCAGGGCUAUGACCAGGUUUCCAGCUCGGGGGCCUAGGGCAUGGUGGCAUCACUCCAGAGAGGGACACAGGGACAGGAGGCAACAAGUGAGGACCAGACGGGAAAGAAAGGCGCCUGGUUGUCCUGAGCCAGCUGCCCUCAGGGAGGACAGGCCCCGGGCUCCCUCUGGACCCUCUCUCACUGAUUCCCAGGAGCUGAGCACCCCCUUCAUGUUGGCUUCAGGGUGGUGGGCGCCAUGGGCCUCAGCAAUAGGUUUGUCAGAUAAAGUAUAGGACACCCAGAUAAAUUCAAAUUUCAGAUAAACAACCAAUUCUUUUCUUGUAGAAGUGUAUCCCAAAUGCACACCUGGCCUCUACCCACUAGGUGCCAGUAACGUACACACACACACACCCCGGUCACAGUAGCCAAAGAUGUCUGGAGAUGUCGCCCCGUGUCCCUGCCACGCUCUCUCCGUGCACACGGCCCGCACACCACCUGCUCGGUGCCCCCGUCACGUUCCGCCUGCCCCGGUCCCGGCUGCACCUCGUACCAGCUGAGCUGUCUUGGCCAAGUGACUUAACCUCGCAGACCAGUGUUUCCUCAUCUACGAAGUGAGGGUAAUGACAGCUUCCACCUCACAGGGAGGCGUGCCUACUGAAUGCAGUAAUUCGUGUAAAGUACACAGGAGGCGCCCAGUAAGUGUCCGCUGAUAUAAACACGACGUUUAGUACUCCUGUGUCACGCAUGUAUAUCUGUUUCCCACCAGACUCUGAGCCCUUGGGGAAUCAGAAGCGGGUCUGGGUCACCGUUGUGUCCCCAGCACCCAGCGGAGGGCUUGGCAGGGAGGAGAAGCUCGGUGAUGUGGGGAGCCCUGCUCGGCCAUCGCCACUCAGCCUGGACUGACGUUGUCCCAGCCGCCGAAGCUCCCCCUCAAACCGGCGUCCUCGCCCAGCUAGACAGCCGCUGCCGGGCUCACAGCAAGCCUGCCCUCAUCUCCCCGAACCCCUCCCUCAAGGCUGCAGUCCUCACACUUGGCUGCCAUCCACAGACCACUGCCUGGCCCUGCUCUGGGGUCCUCUGCCUCUGAGGGGUCAUAUGCAAGCCCACCACGGUCCCCGCCACCAAGAGCUGGGCUUUACAGACCCACAGGAGUAGGAAACGCCAUGAGACCCCCAUCCCAGAGUCCUCGGGCUUACCCUUGAGGAAGCCACACCACAGCGGGGGCGGUGGGGUGGGGGACUGCUUGAAAGUCCCUUUUGGUGGGGCGCCUGGGUGACUCAGUCAGUUAAGCCUCUGCCUUCAGCUUGGAUCAUGAUCCCAGGGUCCUGG